AGUCAAAUUCUCUAACCAGAAGACUAAAACCCAGGACUCUGACCUUGUGACCAGAGAAUUCUUUUAAGCUGUUGGGAGUGAGAAGGUUAAGAAGAAGAA